UGUGGCUAACUAUUCCUAACAUAACACCUAAGGGAACCCAUCUGGACUAUUUUGAAUUCUUUUGUAUAGAAACAUGAACUACACAGACUCUUUGACUGCUGCCAUGUAUCUUGGCACUUUUAAAAGAUGCAGUCUACUCUGAAAGGGAGGAGUAAUUCUCUUUCAUUCAGUGGCUGCCUGUGUUGCUAUAAGCACAAAGGCAUCAUGGACGCGUCCUUUUGCCCAUCUGCUGUAUUUUUAAUUGUUGGUGUAUGUAAACAUAGGACGUCUUUGAUGAUGGACGUCUUUGAUUGUUUCGGUGUGUUUCCGGCGAUGUGUGCCUCAGUGCGCCUUCAGUAUGUGUGUGCAUAAUUUCACCGUGCUUUGGACAAUGAUGUGUUCGUUUUUUUUUUUUUCGCUCUUGUCAGUGUCGAUUGUUUGUGAACCGUCAUAAUACGAUUCCAGCUUUGCAAAGUAACUGCUAUUGAAGGAUGGGGCAGUUAAAAACACUUCAAAAAUGCCAGCACGUGCUACACCACCCAGCCCCUGGCUGUCUGACGUCCUUCGUGAACAUUGGACUGACCUCAGGGCAGCUGAGAGGAGAUGGCAGAAAUCUAAAGAUCCAGCAGAUCUAGAACAAGCUGCUGGAUGACAAUCAGUCAGGCUUUAAAAGUGGACACUCCACCGAGACUGCCCUGCUGUCUGUCACCGAGUCGCUGAGACGGGUGAAAGCUGAAUCAAGAUCAUCAGUCCUGAUUCUGCUGGACCUUUCUGCAGCCUUUGACACAGUCAACCAUCAGAUCUUACUCUCCACCCUCUCCUCGCUGGGCAUCACAGGAACUGUGCUUGACUGGUUUAAUUCCUAUCUCUCAGCCCAACGACACCACAGUGACUGCUCGAAUUUCUGCCUGCCUGGCGGACAUCUCGGCCUAGAUGAAGGAGCACCACCUGCAACUCAACCCAGCCAAGACUGAACUCCUUGUCUUUCCAGCCAACCCUGAUGUUGAACACAACAUCAACGCGCAGCUGGGUGCAACUACAGUAACGCCUUCCAAAUCGGUCAGAAAUCUAGGGGUAACCAUCGACAACAGACUAAAUUUCACAGACCACAUCUCAAAGACCGCAAGAUCAUGUAGAUUUACACUCUACAAUAUCAGGAAGAUAAGAGCCUUCCUCUCUGAACAUGCCACACAACUGCUUGUCCAGUCACUUGUCAUAACUAGACUGGACUACUGUAACGCUCUCAUUGCAGGCCUCCCUGCAUGUGCAACUAGACCCCUCCAAAUGAUCCAGAAUGCAGCAGCAUGUCUGGUCUUUAAUGAACCAAAGAGAGCAUGUUACACCACUCCUUGUCUCUCUCCACUGGCUACCGGUUGAUGCACGUAUCAAAUUCAAGGUUCUGAUGCUGGCAUACAGAACAGUUACUAGGUCUGCUCCAGCAUACCUAAAAUCAUUUAUGCAGAGCUACGCGCCCACUAGAAGUCUGCGGUCGGCUAAGGAAUGUCGCCUUGUUGUACCAACACAAAGAGACACCAAAACACUUUCCCGGACUUUCAACUUCAUCAUACCACGUUGGUGGAACGACCUUCCCAACUCCAUCCGUGAAGCUGACUCACUCUCUGUCUUCAAAAAACGACUAAAAACACAUCUUUUCCAUGAGCACUUAACCAGUCAUUAAAAAAAAAAAAAAAAAAAUUCUGUUGCACUUUAUUCUGUUUUGAAUACUAUUAUGAUGCUAGUGAUACUUUGUAAUAA